rnacentral:tRNA from 1 species
GCCCUGGUAGUUCAACGGAUAGAAUAAUACCGUCCUAAGGUGGAGAUGUUGGUUCGAUUCCAGCCCGGGGUACCA